rnacentral:rRNA from 1 species
CUGGGCGUUAAGUUGCAGGGUAUAGACCCGAAACCCGGUGAUCUAGCCAUGGGCAGGUUGAAGGUUGGGUAACACUAACUGGAGGACCGAACCGACUAAUGUUGAAAAAUUAGCGGAUGACUUGUGGCUGGGGGUGAAAGGCCAAUCAAACCGGGAGAUAGCUGGUUCUCCCCGAAAGCUAUUUAGGUAGCGCCUCGUGAAUUCAUCUCCGGGGGUAGAGCACUGUUUCGGCAAGGGGGUCAUCCCGACUUACCAACCCGAUGCAAACUGCGAAUACCGGAGAAUGUUAUCACGGGAGACACACGGCGGGUGCUAACGUCCGUCGUGAAGAGGGAAACAACCCAGACCGCCAGCUAAGGUCCCAAAGUCAUGGUUAAGUGGGAAACGAUGUGGGAAGGCCCAGACAGCCAGGAUGUUGGCUUAGAAGCAGCCAUCAUUUAAAGAAAGCGUAAUAGCUCACUGGUCGAGUCGGCCUGCGCGGAAGAUGUAACGGGGCUAAACCAUGCACCGAAGCUGCGGCAGCGACGCUGAUGCGUUGUUGGGUAGGGGAGCGUUCUGUAAGCCUGUGAAGGUGUGCUGUGAGGCAUGCUGGAGGUAUCAGAAGUGCGAAUGCUGACAUAAGUAACGAUAAAGCGGGUGAAAAGCCCGCUCGCCGGAAGACCAAGGGUUCCUGUCCAACGUUAAUCGGGGCAGGGUGAGUCGACCCCUAAGGCGAGGCCGAAAGGCGUAGUCGAUGGGAAACAGGUUAAUAUUCCUGUACUUGGUGUUACUGCGAAGGGGGGACGGAGAAGGCUAUGUUGGCCGGGCGACGGUUGUCCCGGUUUAAGCGUGUAGGCUGGUUUUCCAGGCAAAUCCGGAAAAUCAAGGCUGAGGCGUGAUGACGAGGCACUACGGUGCUGAAGCAACAAAUGCCCUGCUUCCAGGAAAAGCCUCUAAGCAUCAGGUAACAUCAAAUCGUACCCCAAACCGACACAGGUGGUCAGGUAGAGAAUACCAAGGCGCUUGAGAGAACUCGGGUGAAGGAACUAGGCAAAAUGGUGCCGUAACUUCGGGAGAAGGCACGCUGAUAUGUAGGUGAAGCGACUUGCUCGUGGAGCUGAAAUCAGUCGAAGAUACCAGCUGGCUGCAACUGUUUAUUAAAAACACAGCACUGUGCAAACACGAAAGUGGACGUAUACGGUGUGACGCCUGCCCGGUGCCGGAAGGUUAAUUGAUGGGGUCAGCGCAAGCGAAGCUCUUGAUCGAAGCCCCGGUAAACGGCGGCCGUAACUAUAACGGUCCUAAGGUAGCGAAAUUCCUUGUCGGGUAAGUUCCGACCUGCACGAAUGGCGUAAUGAUGGCCAGGCUGUCUCCACCCGAGACUCAGUGAAAUUGAACUCGCUGUGAAGAUGCAGUGUACCCGCGGCAAGACGGAAAGACCCCGUGAACCUUUACUAUAGCUUGACACUGAACAUUGAGCCUUGAUGUGUAGGAUAGGUGGGAGGCUUUGAAGUGUGG